UCGGGAAUUUUGGGCAAUGGGGGAAACCCUGACCCAGCAACGCCGCGUGAGGGAUGAAGGCCUUCGGGUCGUAAACCUCUGUCGAGAGGGAAGAAAGGCUCCGGGGAAAACAUUCUCGGGGAACGGACGGUACCUCCAAAGGAAGCGCCGGCUAACUCCGUGCCAGCAGCCGCGGUAAUACGGAGGGCGCAAGCGUUGUUCGGAAUCAUUGGGCGUAAAGCGCGUGUAGGCGGUCGUGCAAGUCGGAUGUGAAAUCCCGAGGCUCAACCUCGGAACUGCAUUCGAAACUGCUCGACUAGAGUCCCGGAGAGGGUGGCGGAAUUCCCAGUGUAGAGGUGAAAUUCGUAGAUAUUGGGAGGAACACCGGUAGCGAAGGCGGCCACCUGGACGGUGACUGACGCUGAGACGCGAAAGCGUGGGGAGCAAACAGGAUUAGAUACCCCCGUAGUCC
rnacentral:rRNA from 1 species